GACGAACGCUGGCGGCGUGCUUAACACAUGCAAGUCGAACGGAAAGGCCCUGCUUUUGUGGGGUGCUCCAGUGGCGAACGGGUGAGUAACACGUGAGUAACCUGCCCUUGACUUUGGGAUAACUUCAGGAAACUGGGGCUAAUACCGGAUAGGAGCUCCUGCUGCAUGGUGGGGGUUGGAAAGUUUCGGCGGUUGGGGAUGGACUCGCGGCUUAUCAGCUUGUUGGUGGGGUAGUGGCUUACCAAGGCUUUGACGGGUAGCCGGCCUGAGAGGGUGACCGGCCACAUUGGGACUGAGAUACGGCCCAGACUCCUACGGGAGGCAGCAGUGGGGAAUAUUGCACAAUGGGCGGAAGCCUGAUGCAGCAACGCCGCGUGCGGGAUGACGGCCUUCGGGUUGUAAACCACUUUCGCCUGUGACGAAGCGUGAGUGACGGUAAUGGGUAAAGAAGCACCGGCUAACUACGUG
rnacentral:rRNA from 1 species